rnacentral:rRNA from 1 species
CCUACGGGCGGCAGCAGUAGGGAAUAUUGCUCAAUGGGGGAAACCCUGAUGCAGCAACGCCGCGUGGAUGAUGAAGGUUUUCGGUUUGUAAACUCCUAUUAUUAGAGAAGAUAAUGACGGUAUCUAACGAAUAAGCACCGGCUAACUCCGUGCCAGCAGCCGCGGUAAUACGGAGGGUGCAAGCGUUACUCGGAAUCACUGGGCGUAAAGAGCGCGUAGGCGGGAUAGCAAGUCAGAUGUGAAAUCCUAUGGCUUAACCCUAGAACUGCAUUUGAAACUGUUAUACUAGAGUACGGGAGAGGUAGGUGGAAUUCUUGGUGUAGGGGUAAAAUCCGUAGAGAUCAAGAGGAACACUCAUUGCGAAGGCGACUUGCUAGAACAUAACUGACGCUGAUGCGCGAAAGCGUGGGGAGCAAACAGGAUUAGAUACCCCUGUAGUC